GAUGAGUCCGCGGCUGAUUAGCUAGUUGGUGGGGUAAAGGCCUACCAAGGCGACGAUCAGUAGCCGGCCUGAGAGGGUGAACGGCCACACUGGGACUGAGACACGGCCCAGACUCCUACGGGAGGCAGCAGUGGGGAAUUUUCCGCAAUGGACGAAAGUCUGACGGAGCAACGCCGCGUGAGUGAUGAAGGCCUUCGGGUUGUAAAACUCUGUCUUAUGGGAAGAAGAAAGUGACGGUACCAUAGGAGGAAGCCACGGCUAACUACGUGCCAGCAGCCGCGGUAAUACGUAGGUGGCGAGCGUUGUCCGGAAUCACUGGGCGUAAAGGGCGCGUAGGCGGUUAAUUAAGUCAGGUGUGAAAACUUUGGGCUCAACCCAGAGACUGCACCUGAUACUGGAUAACUUGAGUGCAGGAGAGGACAGUGGAAUUCCUAGUGUAGCGGUGAAAUGCGUAGAUAUUAGGAGGAACACCAGUGGCGAAGGCGGCUGUCUGGACUGUAACUGACGCUGAGGCGCGAAAGCGUGGGGAGCGAACAGGAUUAGAUACCCUGGUAGUCCACGCCGUAAA
rnacentral:rRNA from 1 species